GGCAGACGGGUGAGUAACGCGUGGGAACGUGCCCUUCAGUUCGGAAUAACCCAGGGAAACUUGGGCUAAUACCGGAUACGUGCGAGAGCAGAAAGAUUUAUCGCUGAAGGAUCGGCCCGCGUCUGAUUAGCUAGUUGGUAGGGUAAUGGCCUACCAAGGCGACGAUCAGUAGCUGGUCUGAGAGGAUGAUCAGCCACAUUGGGACUGAGACACGGCCCAAACUCCUACGGGAGGCAGCAGUGGGGAAUAUUGGACAAUGGGCGCAAGCCUGAUCCAGCCAUGCCGCGUGAGUGAUGAAGGCCUUAGGGUUGUAAAGCUCUUUCGGCGGGGACGAUGAUGACGGUACCCGCAGAAGAAGCCCCGGCUAACUUCGUGCCAGCAGCCGCGG
rnacentral:rRNA from 1 species